CAUAUUUGGAACAAACUCCUUUCUAUCGGUCAAAGCCAAACUCAAAACUUUCAAAACUUCAUUUUCCGCGUAAACAUAUUUGGAACAAACUCAUUUCUAUCGGUCAAAGCCGAACACAAAUAUCAACAAAAGCUACACUUCACAAGCACUCAUAAGGCAACACAUAACAUCAUAUAAAUCACAUCACUUUCACUUUAGGUAAAUAACACUUUUCAUAAUAAUUCACAUUAAAUAGCAAGCUCGCACUUAACAUCGAAUCUUAAAUAGGAGCACACGAAAAUACUUUUCAUAAAAACUGUAAACAUACUUUAAACAGAAAGCCUUAAAAUAUCUUAGUUCGAAAGGCCACCUCGUUCGCUUAAAACUCUUUAACUUGAAUUCUCCUGACUCCACCCUUAACUCGCGGAGAUAACCUUUUUUAAAAACAACACCACUUACUAACAAGACUUAAGAAAAUUCUUAAACUUUAAUUAGAAUUAGAAUGCAUGCCCCUAAUUAAUCAUGGCCCAAGAACUUAAUUAAAAUUAUUGGACAUGACCAAAUUUAUUUCAGCCAACCCUCCCUUAGAAAUUAAUUCCAUCCGACCCAACUGCUCUUCUUUCUCUUUGAUUUAUCUUGGCCCACACAAAUUAUAUGGAAGCAGCCAAAUACUGAAUACGAAUCACAGCCCAUUUUCUCUUGCUCUAAUAUGCCCACUCAAUUCCUUUAUUCCAUGCAACGGCCCAAGUAGUUAAAUGAGGCAGCCCAAUCUUCUAUUUUAACUCCUGUCCCAAAAUUCCAAUUAAACAACUACUCCAAUUCACUUCUCUUAUACUCCAUCGGCGAAAACUGUACGGCAGCUUCUUCUUCUCCUUCCCUUCCUCGGCGAAAAUCGACGAUUCCUCUGCGUCGCCGGCGGUUUCCCGAUUGCUGCUUACGGUUCCCUCUCAACUUCCCUAUUCACCGAGUUCUCUCCCUCCGUCGAGCUCUCUCAAAUUUUCUAGCUCAUCGCCCAAUUCGAAUCCAAAAUCAGAAUCUGAAUCUCUAGAAUAGGAGACUCCAAUCACUCCCUAUUCUCUCCUCAUCUCUCAAACUCUCUGUCAAUCUCUUAUUUUGAAUUUCCUAGAUCAAUUUCCGAUUCAAACUUUUUGUAUGCCCCGGCCACCGCCGCUUUCAAGCUCCAGCAGAUGUCGGCUGCACCGUUGAUUGGCCUCGGAGAAUGUCGCCGCCUUGCGGUCAGCACCAUCCUGCCCUUGCCGCUGCCUGCAUCGUUCAGGAUCCCGGUCUAGGUUCGUUGCUGCCACGCCGCUGCCACUCGGCAGUCCUGACCGACUCGGUGGCUGCUCGCAGGCAGGGCUGCUGUCCGCCCCUUUCUCUAUCUUCACUCGACGGCGCCGACACAGCCGCCGCUGCCUCGGGCUGCUGCUCCAGUAGCGCCGCCGCUCCGGUCGGCUAUUCGGAGCUCCGUCGUUGCUCGACCACCACUGGACAGCCUCUCUCUCUAAAGCUAAGUUCUUUUAACCCCCUUUCAUUACUUAGCAUUUUUUUGAGACUUGGGCAGUGGCUAUGUGAUUUUUAAAGCAUCUAUUUGUCGUUCACACCUAUGUUUACUUCAAGCAUGAUUUCAAAUUGCGCGAUGUGGAAAUCCUAAAGCUCUAAGUUGUUGAGCAUGAGGUUCUAAUAUGAUGCAGAGGGGAGUAUUUUGGUUACCUUACUUAUGGAAUUCCUCUUGUUUGUUGAAUUGCUCUCUUGCCAUUCCUCCCAGCCCUUGCUGCUCCUAUUAUGAAUUGUGAAUUUUGAGUGUCAGAAAGGUGUGUGAAGGAAAGUCUUGGAAUUUUGUGGAUAAUUUGGGAUAAAGAUGCCCUCAUCUUUUGGAUUUGAGAUAAAAGCUUUACUACCCUUUUGGUGUUAGGAUGCUCUUGUAUUUCUAGCUAUGGGUUCCUUCCCCUUUUAGCAUGACAAAAAGACAUCUUGCCUCCUUGGUGCAAGUCUUGGGAUAGGGGAGAUCUUGCUUAUCUCUCACCCUGUUAUUUGAGGAAUUGUUAGUACUCUUGGUCUUUAUUGGCCAUUUCUCUUAUUCCAUUUUUGUGUAACCUUGUUGUAGGUAAAGUGAGUCUUGAGAUGCAAGGCUUGGAGUGUAGUGGCUGUCUAACCGAGAAGAGGAAAGGGGAAAAGAUCAUGCUCCAAGCAGUGUUGUUAAUUUGGCGUUCGGGUCGCUCGGGUCGCCCUGGUCGAGACCUGCACCGCCCCAACAUGGGUGGGUUGAUCGAGAUGCAUGGGUCGCCCUGGGUCGCGCUGGGUCGGCGGGGUCGAGCAUUUCGGGUGGGUCGCGCUGGGUCGGCUGAUACAUGCUUCACAGUUAACAUUUUAAGGAGUUAAUUUUAAAUUUAGGUCGGACCCUACAAAUGAUUGCAACUUGUACCACUUUAUCUACCUAUAGGUUAUAUGUAUUGAAACUUGAGUCUAGAUGAGGAGUUAAUUUUAAUUUUUUUAUGUAACUUUAUUUUUCCUACUUUUUGUAUAGAACUAUAGAUCAUGUAAUAUUUUAUUGAAUUGUAGAUCCAUGUAUAUUGUAUAAUUAAAUUGAAUUGUAGAUCCAUGUAUAUUGUAUAAUUAAUAACAACCGAAAAUUAUUUGAACAUCA